AUUGAACGCUGGCGGAAUGCUUUACACAUGCAAGUCGAACGGCAGCACGGGGGCAGCCCUGGUGGCGAGUGGCGAACGGGUGAGUAAUACAUCGGAACGUGCCCGGUCGUGGGGGAUAACGUAGCGAAAGUUACGCUAAUACCGCAUACGAUCUGAGGAUGAAAGCGGGGGACCUUCGGGCCUCGCGCGAUCGGAGCGGCCGAUGUCAGAUUAGGUAGUUGGUGGGGUAAAGGCCUACCAAGCCGACGAUCUGUAGCUGGUCUGAGAGGACGACCAGCCACACUGGGACUGAGACACGGCCCAGACUCCUACGGGAGGCAGCAGUGGGGAAUUUUGGACAAUGGGCGCAAGCCUGAUCCAGCCAUUCCGCGUGCAGGACGAAGGCCUUCGGGUCGUAAACUGCUUUUGUACAGAACGAAAAGGCUCUGGCUAAUACCUGGGGCUCAUGACGGUACCGUAAGAAUAAGCACCGGCUAACUACGUG
rnacentral:rRNA from 1 species